GUAAAAAAUAAUUAAAAAUUAGGUGAUAAUAAAGGUAAAUUUUUACCAACAUUUUCUGAUUUUUAUAAAGUGAAAACUGGUAGCAAAAUAUUGACAGAUUUUUUUUCAGUCAGUUCACCUUAGAAAAGUCAUUCAUUAUAUCCAUUAACUUUUUUGUUGUUGUUUCUUUUUUUUUGAUUUUGGUGCUGGGGAUUGAACCCUGGGCCUAGUUCAUUUGAGGGAAGCAGUCUACCAACUGAGAUAUCUCCCCAGCUCUUAGAAAAGUCAUUCAUUAUAGAAGGAACAUGUCACAUGUUAGCCAUUUAUGGCACCAUCAUCAAAUUACCAUCAACCCUUGCUGCCUUCCUCUUUUGUAAGGAUAUCAUAAAAAGUACAAAAAUAGUUUUUAUUGUUCAAACAACUACAUAAGAUAAUAAAAAUUGUUAAUUUUUUUUUAGUUGUAGUUCGACACAGUACCUUUAUUUUAUUUAUUUAUUUAUUUUUUGUGCCUUGAGGAUUGAACCCAGCGCCUCACACGUAUUAGGCGAGGACUCUAGCACUGAGCCAUAACCUCAGCCCCAAGAAAAAGUGUUAUUAAUGGUUAAAACUUUAAGGAAAAGGUUAGAAAUUGGUGAAAUUUAGUACAUGUGGACCUAUUAAUAUUGGAAGAGUACUUUAAUUUUUGAACAGUUGCCUGUAAUUUGAUCAUAUUAGCCAGCAAUAGAAAAGUAAUAAAUUAUAGCAGUGAUGUUUUUGCAAGUAAGUGGGGAUGAUUUAAAAAUUAUAUUAGUGUUGGGUGUGGUUGCGCACACUUGUAAUCCCAGCAACUCAAGAGGCUGAGGCUGAGGCAGUAUGAUCGCAAAUUAGGGGUGAGCCUUAGCAACUUAGACUGUGUCAAAAAAUUUGAAAAGUUAGGGAUCUAGCUCAAUGGUAGAGCAUCCCUAGGUUUAAUCCCCAGUAUGACAAAAACAAAACAAAAAAACCCACCAUAUACAAUUGGUUUGGGAAUUAGAGCAGGAAGUUUCCAAUUUAAAACAUUUCUAAACCGAUGUGAUUCUGCAAUCUGUAUUUGGGGUAAAAUUGGGAGUUCAUAACCAACUUGAAUCUAAUGUAUGAAAUAUGAUAUGUCAAGAGCUUUAUAAUGUUUUGAACAACCAAUAAAAAAAAAAUUAAAAAAAAAAA
rnacentral:lncRNA from 1 species